UAAAAUGCUCAGGACCAUAAAUGGCUGG
rnacentral:piRNA from 1 species